GGAGAACAAAAAAAGGAUGUGUCGGUGAAUGUAGGGGAUUGUUGUAAUAGAUGUUGCAUCAGAGUUUAUCUUGUUAUCUCGACUUCUCCCUAUAAAGAUCAAGAGUGAAACAACCAGGAAACACUACUCCAUCUGUCUGCCUAGUGCCUACCAACCUCACGAUGAAGGUCGUCCUGUGUCUUCUUCUUGUGGCUCUGGUUCACGCCGCACCCAAAGAUCAACAAAAGCGCUUGUUCUUGGAGGAUUUAGACGUACUUGGUUUAUUCGACCUCAAAACCCUGGAGACGACCGUGUGCGGCGUGACAACAAGGAUCGGAACAGACGACACGGAGACACAAUGUGAGGGAGUGUGUCACAGUGUGCUGCAGGGCGAAACCGUCGCCGAAAACUUCCUGCACAGCGGCUGUCCCUUCGUCUGCAAAUCUCUGCAGUAUCUUGUCCACCUUUUCCCAUGCGACAAAGCUGUUACAUCUAAGUAAUCAGAUCACGUGAUGUCUCUCGGGACUUCCAAAUGGACUCGUUAUCAAAAACAUGACAAUUAAACAAUGGUUAUAAUUCCU
rnacentral:misc_RNA from 1 species